rnacentral:rRNA from 1 species
AUGGCGUGCGGGUGGAUGCGGGGAGGCGGGCCGUACGGGCAGCAGGUUACGCGGGGGCAGGACCUCACCGGCAAGGACUUCAGCGGCCAGACGCUCAUCAAGCAGGACUUCAAGACCUCCAUUCUGCGGCAGACCAACUUCAAAGGCGCAAACCUGCUCGGCGCCAGCUUCUUCGAUGCGGACCUCACAGGUAGCCUACUGAUGCAAACCUGCUCGGCGCAGGUGCUGUCCAGCCUGCUGGCGCUCAAACCAGGUCAUCUUCAUCCAGGACGGCGACAACCUGGACCGGCUGCUGCAGCUGCUCGACCCGUCCGAGGGCAAGCUGAUGGCCAAGGGCCUCAUCCUCUCCGCCGUCAUGUCGCUGGCCGAGAUAGGCGCCGGGAGGAAGAAGAUCGUGUCGUCGGAGCACUUCGGGAGCCUCAAUGA